UGCGUAGGCGGUUUGGUAAGUCAGAUGUGAAAUUCCUGGGCUCAACCUAGGAACUGCAUUUGAUACUGCCAGACUAGAGUACUGGAGAGGAGACUGGAAUUUACGGUGUAGCAGUGAAAUGCGUAGAUAUCGUAAGGAAGGCCAGUGGCGAAGGCGAGUCUCUGGACAGUAACUGACGCUGAGGCACGAAGGCUAGGGGAGCAAACG
rnacentral:rRNA from 1 species